rnacentral:rRNA from 1 species
CCUACGGGUGGCAGCAGUGGGGAAUAUUGGACAAUGGGCGAAAGCCUGAUCCAGCCAUGCCGCGUGUGUGAAGAAGGCCUUCGGGUUGUAAAGCACUUUCAGUGGGGAAGAAAGCCUUGGGGCUAAUACCCUCGAGGAAGGACAUCACCCACAGAAGAAGCACCGGCUAACUCCGUGCCAGCAGCCGCGGUAAUACGGAGGGUGCGAGCAGUUAAUCGGAAUUACUGGGCGUAAAGCGCGCGUAGGCGGUCUGAUAAGCCGGUUGUGAAAGCCCCGGGCUCAACCUGGGAACGGCAUCCGGAACUGUCAGGCUAGAGUGCAGGAGAGGAAGGUAGAAUUCCCGGUGUAGCGGUGAAAUGCGUAGAGAUCGGGAGGAAUACCAGUGGCGAAGGCGGCCUUCUGGACUGACACUGACGCUGAGGUGCGAAAGCGUGGGUAGCAAACAGGAUUAGAUACCCGAGUAGUC